ACUGGCCCAACUGAUUGAUGGUGCUUGCACUGAUUGACGAUGGAUCACCAGUGAGUGGCGGACGGGUGAGUAACACGUAGGUAACCUGCCCCGGAGCGGGGGAUAACAUUUGGAAACAGAUGCUAAUACCGCAUAACAACAAAAGCCACAUGGCUUUUGUUUGAAAGAUGGCUUUGGCUAUCACUCUGGGAUGGACCUGCGGUGCAUUAGCUAGUUGGUAAGGUAACGGCUUACCAAGGCGAUGAUGCAUAGCCGAGUUGAGAGACUGAUCGGCCACAAUGGAACUGAGACACGGUCCAUACUVVUACGGGAGGCAGCAGUAGGGAAUCUUCCACAAUGGGCGCAAGCUGAUGGAGCAACACCGCGUGAGUAAGAAGGGUUUCGGCUCGUAAAGCUCUGUUGUUGGAGAAGAACGUGCGUAGAGUAACUGUUCACGCAGACGGUAUCCAACCAGAAAGUCACGGCUAACUACGUGCCAGCAGCCGCGGUAAUACGUAGGUGGCAAGCGUUAUCCGGAUUUAUUGGGCGUAAAGCGAGCGCAGGCGGUUGCUUAGGUCUGAUGUGAAAGCCUCGGUUAACCGAAGAAGUGCAUCGGAAACGGGCGACUUGAGUCAGAAGAGACAGUGGAMUCCA
rnacentral:rRNA from 2 species